rnacentral:rRNA from 1 species
CGAAAACGAAUUCUCUCUUGAGUGGAUCCUGAGUACGACGGAGCACGUGAAAUUCCGUCGGAAUCUGGGAGGACCAUCUCCUAAGGCUAAAUACUCUCUAGUGACCGAUAGUGAACCAGUACCGUGAGGGAAAGGUGAAAAGUACCCCGGAAGGGGAGUGAAAGAGAACUUGAAACCGUGUGCUUACAAGUAGUCAGAGCCCGUUAAUGGGUGAUGGCGUGCCUUUUGUAGAAUGAACCGGCGAGUUACGAUCUGAUGCAAGGUUAAGCAGAAAAUGUGGAGCCGUAGCGAAAGCGAGUCUGAAUAGGGCGAAUGAGUAUUUGGUCGUAGACCCGAAACCAGGUGAUCUACCCUUGGUCAGGUUGAAGUUCAGGUAACACUGAAUGGAGGACCGAACCGACUUACGUUGAAAAGUGAGCGGAUGAACUGAGGGUAGCGGAGAAAUUCCAAUCGAACUUGGAGAUAGCUGGUUCUCUCCGAAAUAGCUUUAGGGCUAGCCUCAAGUGAUGAUUAUUGGAGGUAGAGCACUGUUUGGACGAGGGGCCCCUCUCGGGUUACCGAAUUCAGACAAACUCCGAAUGCCAAAUAAUUUAACUUGGGAGUCAGAAUGUGGGUGAUAAGGUCCAUAUUCGAAAGGGAAACAGCCCAGACCACCAGCUAAGGUCCCAAAAUAUAUGUUAAGUGGAAAAGGAUGUGGCGUUGCCCAGACAACUAGGAUGUUGGCUUAGAAGCAGCCAUCAUUUAAAGAGUGCGUAAUAGCUCACUAGUCGAGUGACACUGCGCCGAAAAUGUACCGGGGCUAAACAUAUUACCGAAGCUGUGGAUUGUCCUUUGGACAAUGGUAGGAGAGCGUUCUAAGGGCGUUGAAGCAUGAUCGCAAGGACAUGUGGAGCGCUUAGAAGUGAGAAUGCCGGUGUGAGUAGCGAAAGACGGGUGAGAAUCCCGUCCACCGAUUGACUAAGGUUUCCAGAGGAAGGCUCGUCCGCUCUGGGUUAGUCGGGUCCUAAGCUGAGGCCGACAGGCGUAGGCGAUGGAUAACAGGUUGAUAUUCCUGUACCACCAUUAUUCGUUUUAAGCGAUGGGGGGACGCAGUAGGAUAGGCGAAGCGUGCUGUUGGAGUGCACGUCCAAGCAGUGAGAUUGAGUGUUAGGCAAAUCCGGCACUCUUAAGAUUGAGCUGUGAUGGGGAGAGGAACUUGUUCCUCGAGUCGUUGAUUUCACACUGCCGAGAAAAGCCUCUAGCUAGAAUAACGGUGCCCGUACCGCAAACCGACACAGGUAGUCAAGAUGAGAAUUCUAAGGUGAGCGAGCGAACUCUCGUUAAGGAACUCGGCAAAAUGACCCCGUAACUUCGGGAGAAGGGGUGCUCUUUGAGGUUCACGCUUCGAAGAGCCGCAGUGAAUAGGCCCAAGCGACUGUUUAUCAAAAACACAGGUCUCUGCUAAACCGUAAGGUGACGUAUAGGGGCUGACGCCUGCCCGGUGCUGGAAGGUUAAGAGGAGUGGUUAGCGCAAGCGAAGCUACGAAUCGAAGCCCCAGUAAACGGCGGCCGUAACUAUAACGGUCCUAAGGUAGCGAAAUUCCUUGUCGGGUAAGUUCCGACCCGCACGAAAGGCGUAACGAUUUGGGCACUGUCUCAACGAGAGACUCGGUGAAAUCAUAGUACCGGUGAAGAUGCCGGUUACCCGCGACAGGACGGAAAGACCCCGUGGAGCUUUACUGUAGCCUGAUAUUGAAAUUCGGUACAGUUUGUACAGGAUAGGUAGGAGCCUUAGAAGCGUGAGCGCUAGCUUACGUGGAGGCAUUGGUGGGAUACUACCCUAAUUGUAUUGGAUUUCUAACCCGCAGCACUUAUCGUGCUGGGAGACAGUGUCAGGCGGGCAGUUUGACUGGGGCGGUCGCCUCCUAAAGAGUAACGGAGGCGCUCAAAGGUUCCCUCAGAAUGGUUGGAAAUCAUUCAUAGAGUGUAAAGGCAUAAGGGAGCUUGACUGCGAGACCUACAAGUCGAGCAGGGUCGAAAGACGGACUUAGUGAUCCGGUGGUUCCGCAUGGAAGGGCCAUCGCUCAACGGAUAAAAGCUACCCCGGGGAUAACAGGCUUAUCUCCCCCAAGAGUUCACAUCGACGGGGAGGUUUGGCACCUCGAUGUCGGCUCAUCGCAUCCUGGGGCUGUAGUCGGUCCCAAGGGUUGGGCUGUUCGCCCAUUAAAGCGGUACGCGAGCUGGGUUCAGAACGUCGUGAGACAGUUCGGUCCCUAUCCGUCGUGGGCGUAGGAAAUUUGAGAGGAGCUGUCCUUAGUACGAGAGGACCGGGAUGGACAUACCUCU